rnacentral:rRNA from 1 species
UACAGAGGUCCCGAGCGUUGUUCGGAUUCAUUGGGCGUAAAGGGUGUGUGGGAGGUUAGGUAAGUCGAGUGUGAAAUCUCAUCGCUUAACGAUGAAAUGGCGCUCGAUACUGCUUAGCUAGAGGAUCGGAGGGGAGAGCGGAAUUCUUGGUGUAGCAGUGAAAUGCGUAGAUAUCAAGAGGAACACCGGUGGCGAAGGCGGCUCUCUGGACCGAUACUGACGCUGAGGCGCGAAAGCGUGGGGAACAAACAGG